rnacentral:rRNA from 1 species
UGAGGAAUUUUGCGCAAUGGGAGCAAUCCUGACGCAGCAACGCCGCGUGGGUGAUGAAGGCCUUCGGGUCGUAAAGCCCUGUCAGGUGGGAAGAAUGUCCCGGAACUGAACAGGUUUCGGGAGUGACGGUACCACCAGAGGAAGCACCGGCUAACUCCGUGCCAGCAGCCGCGGUAAUACGGCGGGUGCAAGCGUUAUUCGGAAUUCCUGGGCGUAAAGCGCGUGUAGGCGGUCCUGCAAGUCUGAUGGGAAAGCCCCGGGCUUAA